UAAACAUUGAUUCAUUAUUACAUUUUCAAUUCGCCCGGGUACUACAAGCACUAGCUUAAAACCCAAAGGACUUGGCGGUGCUUAAGAUCCCCCUAGAGGAGCCUGUUCUAGAACCGAUAAUCCACGUUUAACCUCACCCUCCCUUGUUUUUCCCGCCUAUAUACCGCCGUCGUCAGCUUACCCUGUGAAGGUUUAACAGUGAGCAAAAAUGGCACAGCCCAAAACGUCAGGUCGAGGUGUAGCGCAUGAGAGGGGAAGAAAUGGGCUACAUUCUCUAAAAAUAGAAGCAUACGGACAAUAUAUUGAAACAUAUAUUUUAAGGAGGAUUUAGCAGUAAGUAGAAAUUAGAAUAUUCCACUGAAUCCGGCCCUAAAGCGCGC
rnacentral:rRNA from 1 species